UAUGAGGACACAGUGAGAAGAUGGCUGUCUAUGAACCAGGAAGAAGACCCUCACCAGAGACCAAAUCAAUUGGUGCCUUGAUCUUGGACUUCUCGGCCUCCAGAAUUAUAAGAAAUGAAUUCCUGUUGUGUAUAAACCACCCAGUCUAUGGUGUUCUGUUAUAACAGCCCAAACAGACUAAGGUACCUUCAUAAUCUUUCUUAUGGAAAGUACCUGUAAUAAUUUUCCAAGCUAGUUUUGGCCCCAGACCCUAAUUCAUUUUAUUUAUCAUGGUUAUCUUUUCAGGUCACAAAUUAGUCUGGCUUGCUUUUAUUUCUUUUUCUUUCCUCUUCUGGUACUUUGAUAUUUAAUGCACACAUACACAUUCGUGAAAACAAAAUCACCUUUAAGCUUCCCUAUUUGUAUCUUGGAAAAAGAAGGUGCUCCUAGAGCUACAUGUUAAGCCAAGUUGACUUUAUCUAACACUGGAGUUUUCUUGGGGUCCAUGGAAGUCUGUGAGUUACUCAAGGAUUCCUUCUUGAAAUCAUGGUGAUCUCUGGAAUGGACCAUCAGGUCAGAGGAAAAUUUUAGAGACUAACCUAUUAUUAGCAAAUCAGAUACUGACUACACAAAAGCUUUAAUAAAUUAAAGAACUGCCUCUGUUAGGUUCUUUCUCCUUUUAGUUCUUUCCUUGUUUAACUUUUGCCCUAACUUUGUUGUGAAAGCUUACUUUGUAGGACUGUGCCAGUUGUGGCUCUGGGACAAAGUGUUCCUUUUUUCAGGCAGUGAUGUUUCAUCUGGAGCCAGCCUUGACUUUUCUUUCAGCCAUAAUGUAAGCAUGAAAAUAUGAAAAUGAACAGCACAAAUAAGGUUUUAUGGCUUUCUCCAACAAUGUAGGAAGCCAGGAAAGGCAAUAACAGAAUUCAAUCCUUCCUCCUCCUUUCCUAUUAAUUUGAUUUCAACUUCUCUUCCAGAAUAAAUAUUCAACAAAUUUCUUCAUUAGUGUGGAGCUGGAGGAAGUGCAGUAAUUUUGGCUCAGGCAUGUCAAUACUGUUCUUCUCUGGCAGUUUGUGGAGUUUAGUAUUGGGUUUAUGAUUUCUACCAGGCUACAUGGAAAAGACUAAAUAAAGAAGGUGAUGAGGUUGUUGAGGAGGGGUCCAAGGUUGGAUCAGCCAAGAGCAGAUAUCAUAGAUCAAGGGUGAGGUGUGUUGGCAGAGAGGUGCUCAAGACUAAAUUGUGCAUGCGCUAACUAUACUCAUGCCCAGGAGUGCAAUCCAUUCUCCAAAGUGGAAAAAUACAAGAAAAGUACCAGAAAUAGAGUAAAGCCUUCAACAAAUUAAAAGCAAUCAUGUUCUUCACAGACUUCAGGAAUCAAAGCAUUAGGAGGUCAAUUGCAAAUUAGAUUAGGGAGCAGUAACACAUAUGCACAUUCCAAAAGGGGUACAUGAGAUAAUUUUGAGAAGGCAUAUUCAGGGCCAGCCUGUAGCAAAAUUAUGAUUUCUCUUGGCAUCCCCUACUUCUGCUGUCCUAUCAUCUUAUCUUGCUUCUAAAGUCUCAAGACUCCCCACCCUUUCCAGGGGCUUUCCAACUCCUACCCAUUCCAUGAGACAGUGAAUUCUAGCUAAAACAAACAAACAAAAAAAGGAUGCUUCCAGGAGAAUGCCAUAUGAAGGGGGGGGGGGUUGAUAAUUUGGGACUCAGGUUUAGAUGUAAAUAUCAUCUUCCUAUCCCAAUGAUGUGCAUACCUGCAUGCAAACUUAGAAUAGUUUGGGAAGCCUUUCAAAAUAUCAAUCUGUUCCGUUCCCUUCUCAUUUUCAUCCAAAGAAGAAGGGCAGUAAGGGAAUAGUGGUAUUAUGAUGAUGUGGUGGGAAGCAGCCUGAUGGUUGAAGAACAAAGUAAGAUGUAGAGGUGACAAAUGGAGAAGGGAGCUGGAAGGCUGGGGAUUGGUUACCUUUAGCAAAUAAGUUAAAAUAAGUUAAUUGCCUGAGCAAAUAGGUAAAUAUAUUGAGGAUAGUCAAUCCAUAUUCCUCACCAUCUGAGACAAGAUUUUAAAACAUAGAAAUAGAGGAGGCUAGAAAGAUCCUGAGGUAUUGGAUUGAAGUUUGAAGUAUUGGUAUGAAUUCAUGAAUUUGUAAAUAGAUAGAUAGAUAGAUAGAUAGAUAGAUAGAUAGAUAGAUGAUAGAUAGAUGGAUGGAUGGAUAGAUAGAUAGAAAAAUAAUUUGAAUAUACCAUGUCCCCAGGUCUUGGGUUUUAUAUACUUUUUCCACUAAAAGGAGCCAGGGAUCCUUGGAGGAAUUACUGAUUGUAAGGCUAGGGCAAGGAAAGAACAAGAAGAACCUGAAUCAUCCUGUUGUAACAGAAAGUAAAGAAAUGCUCUAAGAAUGAUGGGGACAUAUCAAUAAGACAUAUAAGUCAGCUUGAAGAGCUCCCACUGGCCAAAUCUAGGACAACAAAAGCAUCAAGAUAAAUAAAAACAUUGGGAAGCCAAGAUGACGGAACAGCAUGGAAGUUUUUUUUGUGUCUCAUGUCCAUGAAAUACAGCCAGAUCAACACUAAACCAUCCUGCACACCUAGAAAACCGAUUUGAAGAUUAACACAACAAUCUGCACAACCUGAACCAAGAACUCAGCAGGUACAUGGUGUGGAGAGGUGAACUGGGGGAGAGGGAAGCCGUGGAGGGCAGGGAGUUGUUUUUGCUUAUGGAGAGAAGACAGAGAUGGGGGGGAAGAGUACAGGAAAAGCACUCCCCGCCCCAAAGCAGCUGGAGAGAAAGUGUUAAAGUGGAAACAGUUGCAGGGACUGAACAAAAAAGGAAGAAAGGAGAAAGGAGAAGGUUUAAAUUCCAUUAAGACUUUAUUAACAGAGGGGGCACAGAGUCUGAAACUCCACAGCUCGCUACCUGGUGGUGCUCUGGUGAGAAGGGUGAAUCCCCAGGAGGAGAGUGAAGUCCAGGGAUCUUAGGGCCACCUGGGGAGAAGCGGUUCCCCUGCUGAGAGGACAUUUUGUAGGGGCUGUGAGACCUCCCCAAAGGCAAAGGCCCCAGUGAACACUGGAGAACAACCACAUUUGCUGGUGCUGGAACAAGGUCGUUAAGGGUGAAGCCUGGUGCCAAACGUGUAUUGUGAUUUUCCAUAAUCCCUGAAAUGCUGCUGCUACACGAUCACGUGAACUUUUCCUAGGGUGGGCUGGCACCCAGACACAGUCUCUGGGCAUCAGCAGCAGCACAGUCCCGUGAACAUUCGUAGGUGCAGCUGGCACCCAGCCAUUGCUCAGUGAGACCCUCCCUCAGAGGAGCAGAAUCGGUCAAAGCCACAGUCCCUCAGAAGUAAGGGGUCUGGAGAAACAGCCUCAUCUGAGAUAAAACUCAGGAGGGAGGUGCUGCCUGAGGCUUGGUCACAGACAGUGUAAAAGUGGGAGUGGACAGAAGCCAGAGACAAAGGAUGGGUGUGCAAUUGCUGGCUGGGGAGAACAGAGUUCCAAUACUAGAGACUGAGUAGCUGGGUAACACCAUUUUCACCCCUCCCACGCAUGUGCAUACACACCUACAAGCACCACAAUACACCCCAGUAAGCAAAGCAAUGCCAUCUAGUGGAGAACGGAGCUGUUACACUAAGCCCUGCCCAAUUGGGCCAAUCUCGCUCUUCAGGAACACCACAAGGCUCUCUGCCUGCUAAGUUUACAGACUAUAAAGUGCUUCAUAGUUUGACUUCUAGGGGGAAAAUGAUGUAAUUUCAAUUGUACUGCAGUCUGUUUACUGGUCCAUCUAUUCAAUUUUCUUUGUUUUUUCUUUUUCGUUUCUUUUCUUUUUCUUGAAUACAGAAAGGGAAAAAAUUAUUUUUAUUUUCGAUUUUUAUUAAAAUAUUUUUAAUUUUUUCUACCAUAUUUUUUACUUUUGUGUAAACUUCAAAUUCUAUUUUACUUCCAUCAUUCAUUUUAUUCUACUUCAUUGUACUCAUUUUUUCAAAUUUUCAAAUGUUUUCCUUUUUUCUUCUUUUCUUUUUCACCCUUUAUCCCUAAUCAAUCAAGACCUUUCAACACCCAGACCAAAACACACCUAGGAUCUAGCAUCAUUUAUUUGAUUUUGUGUGUGUGUGUGUGUGUUGUUUUUAAUUUUUUAAUUUCAAUUUUUUUAAUUUUAAUGUUUUUUACCUCAUUAAUUCCUUUUCUUCCUUCAAAAUGACGAAAUGAAGGAAUUCACCCCAAAAGAAACAGCAGGAAAAAACAACAGCCAGGGACUUAACCAACACAGAUACAAGCAAGAUGUCUAAACUGAAAUUUAGAAUCACGAUAAUAAGAAUACUAGCUGGAGUUGAAAGUAGAUUAGAAUCCUUUUCUGUGGAGAUAAAAGAAGUAAAAGCUAGUUAGGAUGAAAUAAAAAAUGCUAUAACUGAGCUGCAAUCUUGAAUGGAUGCCAUGGCCGCAAGGAUGGAUGAGGCAGAACAGCAAAUCAGCAAUAUAGAGGACAAAUUUAUGGAGAAUAAUGAAGCAGAUAAAAAGAGGGAGACUAAGGCAAAAGAGCACGAUUUAAGAAUUAGAGAAAUCAGUGACUCAUUAAAAAGGAACAACAUCAGAAUCAUAGGAGUCCCAGAAGAUGAAGAGAGAGAAAAAGGGGUAGAAGUGUUAUGUAAGCAAAUCAUAGCGGAAAACUUUUCUAACCUGGGGAAAGACACAGAUAUCAAAAUCCAGGAUCCCUAUUAGAUUCAAUAAAAACUGAUCAUCAACAAGGCAUAUCAUAGUCAAAUUUACAAAAUACUCAGGCAAGGAAAGAAUGAUGAAAGCAGCAAGGAAAAAAAAAGUCCUUAACCUACAAGGGAAGACAGAUCAGGUUUGCAGCAGACCUAUCCACAGAAACUUGGCAGACCAGAAAAGAGUGGCAGGAUAUAUUCAAUGUGCUGAAUCAGAAAAAUAUGCAGCCAAGAAUUCUUUAUCCAGGAAGGCUGUCUUUCAAUAUAGAAGGAGAGAUUAAAAGUUUCCCAGACAAACAAAAAUUACAGGAAUUCCUGCCCACUAAACCAGCCCUGCGUGAAAUUUUAAGAGGGAUUCUCUGAGGGGAGAAAAGACAAUUGAUAAAUACAUACAUACAUACAUACAUACAUACAUACAUACAUACAUAGCAACAAAGACUAGAAAGGACCAGAGAACACCACCAGACCCUCCAACUCUAGAAGAAACAUAAUGGCAAUAAAUUCAUAUCUUUCAGUACUCACUUUACACAUCAAUGGACUAAAUGCUCCAAUCAAAAGACAUAGGGUAACAGAAUGGAUAAUAAAAUAAGAUCCAUUUAUAUGAUGUUUACAAGAGACCCACUUUAGACCUAAAGACACCUUCAGAUUGAGAGCAAGGGGAUGGAGAACCAUCUAUCAUGUUAAUUGUCGACAAAAGAAAGCUGGAGUAGCCAUACUUACAUCAAACAAUCUAGACUUUAAAAUAAAGACUGUAACAACACAUGAAGAAGGGCAUUAUAUCAUAAUUAAGGGGACUAUCCACGAAGAAGACCUAGCAAUUGUAAACAUUUAUGCUCCAAAUGUGAGAGCACCCAAAUAUGUAAACCAAUUAAUCACAAACAUAAAGAAACUCAUUGAUAAUAAUACAAUAAUAGUAGGGGACUUCGACAUCCCACUUACAGCAAAGGACAGAUCAUCUAAUAAGAAAAUCAACAAGAAAACAAUGGCUUUGAAUGACACACUGGACCAGAUGGAAUUAACAGAUAUAUUCAGAACCUUUCAUCCUAAAGCAGCAAAAUAUACAUUCUUCUCUAGUGCACAUGGAAUGUUCUCCAGAAUAGAUCACAUACUGGGACACAAAUAAGCCCUCAACAAGUACUAAAAGAUCGAGAUCAUACCAUGCAUAUUUUCAGACCACAUGCUAUGAAACUCGAAAUCAACCACAAGAAAAAAUUUGGAAAGGUAACAAAGGAGACUUGGAGACUAAAGGACAUCCUACUAAAGAAUGAAUGGGCUAAACAAGAAAUUAAAGAGGAAAUUAAAAAUUACAUGGAAGCCAAUGAAAAUGAUAACACCACAGCCCAAAACCUCUGGGACACAGCAAAGGAGGUCAUAAGGGGCAAGUAUAUAGCAAUCCAGUUCUUCCAAAAGAAGGAAGAAAGGUCUCAGAUACACAACCUAACCUUAUACUUUAAAGAGCUGGAAACAGAACAGCAAAUAAAACUGCAAACCAGCAGAAGGCAGGAAAUGAUAAAGAUUAGAGCAGAAAUCAAUACUAUCAAAACCAAACCAAACCAAACCAAACAACAACAAAAAACACCAAAAGCAAAAACAAAACAAAACAAAACAACAACAAAAAAACAGUAGAACAGAUCAAUGAAACCAGAAGUUGGUUCUUUGAAAGAAUUAAGAAAAUUGAUAAACCACUAGCCAGUUCGAUCAAAAAGAAAAAGGAAAGGACCCAAAUAAAUAAAAUCAAGAACGAAAGAGGAGAGAUCACAACCAACACAGCAGAAAUAAAAACAAUAAUAAGAGAAUAUUAUGAGCAAUUAUAUGUCAAUAAAAUGGACAAUCUGGAAGAUAUGGACAAAUUCCUAGAAACACACAAACUACCAAAACUGAAACAGGAAGAAAUAGAACAUUUGAACAGACCCAUAACCAGUAAAGAAAUCGAAUUAGUAAUCAAAAAUCUCCCAAAAAACAAGAGUCCAGGGCCAGAUGGCUUUCCAGGGGAAUUCUUCCAAACAUUUAAGGAACACUUGAAGUUGUUACAAAAAAUAGAAAUGGAAGGAAAACUUCCAAACUCUUUCUAUGAAGCCAGAAUUACCUUGAUUCCAAAACCAGAGACCCCACUAAAAAGGAGAACUAUAGACCAAUUUCUCUGAUGAACAUGGAUGCAAAAAUCCUCAACAAGAUAUUAGCCAACCGGACCCAACAAUACAUUAAAAAAAUUAUUCACCACAACCAAGUGGGAUUUAUACCUGGGAUGAAGGGCUGGUUCAAUAUCUGCAAAACAAUCAAUGUGAUUCAUCACAUCGCUAAAAGAAAGGACAAGAACCACAUGAUCCUCUCAAUAGAUGCAGAGAAAGCAUUUGACAAAAUACAGCAUCCUUUCUUGAUAAAAACCCUCAAGAAAGUAGGGAUAGUAGGAUCAUACCUCGAGAUCAUAAAAGCCAUAUAUGUAAGACCCAAAGCUAAUAUCAUCCUCAAUGGGGAAAAACUGAGAGCUUUCCCCCUAAGGUCAGGAACAAGACAGGGAUGUCCACUCUCACCACUGUUAUUCAACAUAGUAUUGGAAGUCUUAGCCUCAGCAAUCAGACAACACAAAGAAAUAAAAGGCAUCCAAAUUGGCCAGGAGGAGGUCAAACUUUCACUCUUCGCAGAUGACAUGAUACUCUAUAUGGAAAACCCAAAAGAACUGGGUUCUAGAACUGAUCCAUGAAAUCAGCAAAGUAGCAGGAUAUAAAAUCAAUGCACAGAAAUCGGUUGUAUUCCUAUAUACCAACAAUGAAGCAAGAGAAAGAGAAAUCAAGGGCUUGAUCCCAUUUAUAAUUGCAUCAAAAACCGUGAAAUACCUGGGAAUACAUCUAACCAAAGAGGUGAAAAAUCUAUACAUUGAAAACUAUAGAAAGCUUAUGAAAGAAAUUGAAGAAGACACCAAAAAAUGGAAAGAUAUCCCAUGCUCCUGGAUGGGAAGAAUAUUGUUAAAAUGUCAAUACUACCCAAAGCAAUUUACAUAUUCAAUGCAAUACCUAUAAAAAUAACACCAGCAUUCUUCACAGAGCUAGAACAAACAAUCUUAAAAUUUGUAUGGAACCAGAAAAGACCCUAAAUAGCCAAAGCAAUCUUGAAAAAGAAAACCAAAGCAGGAGGCAUCACAAUCCUGGACUUCAAGCUGUAUUACAAAGCUGUAAUCAUCUAGACAGUAUGGUACUGGCACAAAACCGACACUCAGAUCAAUGGAACAGAAUAGAACCCAGAAAUGGACCCAUAAACAUAUGGCCAACUAAUCUUUGACAAAGCAGGAAAGAAUAUCCAAUGAAAUAAAGACAGUCUUUUUAGCAAGUGGUGCUGGGAAACCUGGACAGCAACAUGCAGGAAAAUAAACCUGGGCCACUUUCUUACACCAUACAUAAAAAUAAACUCAAAAUGGAUGAAAGACCUAAAUAUAAGACUGGAAACCAUUAAAAUCCUUGAGAAGAGAGCAGGCAAAAAUGUUUUUGACCUUGGCCACAGCAACUUCUUACUCAACACGUCUCUGGAGGCAAGGGAAACAAAAGCAAAAAUGAACUAUUGGGACCUCAUCAAAAUAAAAAGCUUCUGCACAGAGAAGGAAACAAUCAGCAAAACUAAAAGGCAACUGACGGAAUGGGAGAAGAUAUUUGCAAAUGACAUAUUAGAUAAAGGGUUAGUAUCCAAAAUCUAUAAAGAACUUAUCAAACUCAACCCCCCAAAAAUAAAGAAUCCAGUGAAGAAAUGGGAAAAAGACAUGAAUAGACACUUCUCCAAAGAAGACAUCCAGAUGGCCAGAUGACACUUGAAAAAAUGCUCAACAUCACUUAUCAGCAGGGUAAUACAAAUCAAAACCACAAUGAGAUACCACCUCACACCUGUCAGAAUGGCUAAUAUUAAGAACUCAGGCGGGGCGCCUGGGUGGCGCAGUCGGUUAAGCGUCCGACUUCAGCCAGGUCACGAUCUCGCGGUCCGUGAGUUCGAGCCCCGCGUCAGGCUCUGGGCUGAUGGCUCAGAGCCUGGAGCCUGUUUCCGAUUCUGUGUCUCCCCCUCUCUCUGCCCCUCCCCCGUUCAUGCUCUGUCUCUCUCUGUCCCAAAAAAAUAAAUAAAUAAAUAAAUAAAUGUUGAAAAAAAAAAAAAAGAACUCAGGCAACAACAGAUAUUGGCGCGGAUGCGAAGAAAGAGGAUCUCUUUGGCACUGCUGGUGGGAAUGCAAACUGGUGCAGCCACACUGGAAAACAGUAUGGAGCUUCCUUGAAAAAUUAAAAAUAGAAUUAUCCUACAACCCAGCAAUUGCACUACUAGGUAUUUAUCCAAGGGAUACAGGUAAGCUGUUUCGAAGGGGCACGUGCACCCCAGUGUUUAUAGCAGCAUUAUAAACAAUAGCCAAAGUAUGGAAGGAGCCCAAAUGUCCAUGUAUGGAUGAAUGGAUAAAGAAGAUGUGGUAUAUAUAUGUGUAUAUAUAUGUAUGUAUAUAUAUGUGGUAUAUAUAUAUAUAUAUAUAUAUAUAUAUAUAUAUAUAUAUACACACACAAUGGAGUAUAACUUGGCAAUCAAAAAGAAUGAAAUCUUGCCAUUUGCAACUAUGGAUGGAACUACAGGGUAUUAUGCUAAGCAAAAUUAGUCAGACAAAGACAAAUAUCAUAUGACUUCACUCAUAUGAGGACUUUAAGGCACAGAACAGAUGAACACAAGGAAAGGGAAGCAAAAAUAAUAUGAAAACAGGGAGGGGGACAAAACAGAAGAAACCCUUAAAUAUGGAGAACAAACAGAGGGUUACUGGAGGGUUUGUGGGAGGGGGGUGUGCUAAAUGGGUAAGCGGUACUAAGGAAUCUAUUCCUGAAAUCAUUGCUGCACUGUAUGUUAACUAACUUGGAUGUAAAUUAAAAAAAUAAAAAUUUUAAAAAAGAUAAAAACACUGGGUUGAAAUUCAAUGAAUAAAAUAAGAAUCCAUAAGUUCAUGCUGAUAUAAAUAAAUAUAUAAAUAAGCAAAUGAAGGAAAAGAAGUAGCUCUUCCUCACAGUACAGUGCCAACUAUUAUAAGUGCAAGUUUGAUGGACAGCAUAUUGGUGUAAUAUUGGACUAUCUCUCCACAAAAUACUAAUCGAAUACAACGAAUAGUGGUGAUUUUGCAGUGGAGAACUUGACAGACAUAAAUUUGGCCAGAUGAUCAAGGUUAACAUCACCAGUGUGGGACAGGCUACAGUGUAGCCUCCUAAUAUAUGCAUUGAGAAGAGCAUAGCAUCUCUUCUCCAAUUUUUCUGCCAAGAAUGCAUGGCUUGAGUGUAAGGAAACAUCUGACUGAUCGAAGUUGAGGGUCAUCCUAGUGAAUGAGAAGUCUGUCUCUUUAAGACUAUCGAGGACACAGAAUCCGUUCCAGAAUGAAGGAGAACAAUAAGCCAAUGGGUGUUCUUGGAGAGGAAUGUGAAAAAAAGAGACAUUCAGACAGUUGGAGAAGUUUGAAUGUGGUCAGUGGAUUGGGAGUUGGUGUUGUGUUAAUGUUGAUUUUCAGAUUGGGACAGUGGUCUGAUGGUUCCAAAAAAAGUGUUCUUGGGGCGCCUGGGUGGCGCAGUCGGUUAAGCGUCCGACUUCAGCCAGGUCACGAUCUCGCGGUCCGGGAGUUCGAGCCCCGCGUCAGGCUCUGGGCUGAUGGCUCAGAGCCUGGAGCCUGUUUCCCUCUGUGUCUCCCUCUCUCUCUGCCCCUCCCCCGUUCAUGCUCUGUCUCUCUCUGUCCCAAAAAUAAAUAAACGUUGAAAAAAAAAAUUAAAAAAAAAAAAGUGUUCUUGUUUUGUGGAAGUAGACAUGGAGUCUUUAGGAGUCAUGAGUCAUAAUAUUGGAAAAAAGACAGACUUAUUCUCCCCCUCUGUGUACACACACACAUACACACACACACACACACACACACACACACACACACACACACACAUCUAUAUAAACAGAUAAGCAAAUAAAAAGGAUGCAUCUCUUAUUAAUAAAUUUAUAAAUAUACCUUACAUAUAUAUGUGUAUGUGUGUGUGUGUUAGAGUUACUAAAAUUAGCAGAAAUACAUAGAGCCCUAGGAGAAUAAUGGAGAAAAAAAAUGGUAAUCUGUAAUAUUUUCCCUACCUUUACUUGUCAUCAUUUGGAUCAAAUGCACACAAGACAUCAUGGGCCCAUCUGACCUCCUCAGAGUUCAUGAAAUACCCCUUUGUUGUCAUCAUGUUAGAAUAAAAGUCUAUGACACUACACUAGUCAUUAAUUUAUGCCAAUUUUUAAAAAAGACUUUUUAAGUUUAGGGGCACCUGGGUGGCUCAGUAGGUUAAGCAUCCAACUUCAGCUCAAAUCAUGAUCUUGCGGUUUGUGACUUCGAGCUCCAUGUCAGGCUGUGCUGACAGCUCAGAGCCUGGAGCCUGCUUCAGAUUCUGUGUCUCCCUCUCUCUCUGCCCCUCCCCUGCUCAUGCUCUAUCUUCCUCUCUCUCAAAAAUAAACAUUAAAAAAUUUAAAAAUAUUUCUAAGUUUAUUGUGAGAGACAGAGACAGCAUGAGUGAGUGGGGGAGGGGCAGCAAGAGAGGGAGAGAGGGAAUCCCAAGCAGGCUCUGCGCUGCUAGCACAGAGCCCAAUGUGGGGCUUGAACACAUGAAGCUGUGAGAUCAUGACCUGAGCCAAAACCAAGAGUCAGAUCCUUAAUCAACUGAGUCACCCAAGCACCCUAUGCCAAUAUUUUACUAAUCCUUCAAAGCCACCAGUAGCAUUCAUUCACACAUCAAGUAUUUAAUGAGCACUUACUAUGCCCCAGGCCCUGUUCAGGUGCUUGAACUCAUCGUGAACAAGAAGGAAGAACCCCCUGCCUUUGUGGCGCUUCUACAUUACAUGGUGAUUCGUGUGUGUCGUCCAUAACCCAAGGACAGGGGUCAUCUGGUGGGUACCAUCUCGCCAAGUUGUGACCACAUCAUAGCAGUAUUAGGACAUGCUGUUUAUUCUGACUGAAAAUGGAAACCGUUCAGACUGCCUACUGGCAAAACCUUUCCACAAUACCGGGAAACUGAGAAAAGCUCUUUUAGGACAUAACCAGGUUUCCUUGGUGAUCUGUGUGCACCGUACCUCUUCUCCCCCGGGCUGGGGGGCACACAUGUGACCUUCAAUACAGUCAAAUGCUUCUCAGCACCAGCUCUCAUGUGUCUGAGGAAAAUAUAUGUUUUCUGGAAAUCAGAGAGCUACGUCUUCAUUACUUUAAAUUCCAAAUGUGUGGGCAUGGAAGAGGUGAAUACAAACCUUCUGUCUUAACCCGAGCGCAGCUCUGACAGGCUCUGCUGACUGGGGUUAAUGUGUUACCAACUUAGGAGAAGCAGAUAUCUAUGCCUCGGACCCCAGAGGAAGACUGGCAAUGCCAAAAUGCUUUCUCUUCUCUGGGUCAGCUUUGGUGGAAGCCCCAGCCUUGGCCUUGAGCCUGGCUUCCCCCUGGCUGCCCUGGCAAUGACCCCAGCCUGACCUGGCUGAGCUAGCCUCCCUCUGCUAAGAAAUGCAUGUCAGGGAGGCUGGGGCAGGGCAGAGGGGCGUUAGGAGAGAGACUCUGCUAAAGGUUUCUUUUACCACAGUGUAGACAUUGUGGUUUUGUCAAAAUCACAUUUAGGUUUAUGUGCAUUUGGUUUCAUGAAAUGCCCAGGGCCAUUUGCCCAGGAGUGAAAUGAGUUGACCCAGCUCAGCCACAAAUGACAUUUUGGCUGGAGAUAAGCUCCCAUAGGGAAGGGGGAAACCUUCCUUCUCUAAUGUUAAAGGUUCUCCAGGGGACAGUGUGGUGAGGGCGAAAGAAUAGGGGGACGUGGGUUCUGCUGCUGCUCUCCAGCAAUCAGCUGUGCGACUGAAGGCAGGCCAUUUCUCCUCUCUGUGCCUCAGUUUCCUCAUCUUUAAAAUGCAUGGAGGUGGAACUCAUGACCUCUCAAAUCCCUUCCAGCCCAAACAUUCUGUAAUUCUGUUCAGGGCUGCCUACAUCAUUUGCAGGGUCCAGAACAAAAGUGAAAAUGCAGGGCCCCUUGUUAAAAAAAAAAAAAAUUAUUAAGAAUUUCACGGCAGCAACAGCAGACCAUGAAGGGAAGCACGGGGCCGUCCGAGGGCGGGGCCCUGUGCACCUUGCUGAACACUGUGCCCGUGAAGCUUUGAUUCUCCGCAUGUCCCCAUCACUACCCUUUACUGAUUACAUCUGAUGGAGCAUGUGCUUAACACAGUGGAAAGAAUAGGAGCUUUGUGGUCAGAAGGACUUGAUCUUCCAUGUUGGUCCUGUGUGCUAGCGCCUGAUCUUGGGUUACCACCUAACUGCUCCUUGCGAGAGAAACAGACGGAGCGCCCCGCCUAGCAGGAACAUUGUGAGGGAUCAAGACAACCACGCUGAGCACGCGGUAAGGGUUCAGGAAGCAGCGGCGCCAGUGCACCACGUAUUCACCUUGAAUGGAAUCCCAGCUGAAAGAUGGUUUCAGGGAGCGACUGCUUUUUAAAGCAAGGUGAUGUGCUGCUAGAAAGAUAGAUUCAAAACAGACUUUAUUUUUGACCAAAAAAAAAAAGAGUCACGAGUGGUUUUUUACAGUAAGUGCGUCCGCGCUGCCCUGCUUUCAGGACCACACACUCUAUUAUUUAGGAAGUCAUACCAUUCCCGAUUGUAAAUUAUCUCCUGGGCCUGUUACUUUUUCCACUCAGUUUGCCAUCCUCCCACUCUUUCCCCUGUUCUUCAGGACUGCAUAUGGCUUUUGAGAAAACCAUUUGAGUUUCACAUUUAUUUCAUGGCUAUUAUUCUUGUUUGCUUUACUUCAUGUGCGUCCACAUGUGCCCUUUUCCACUGUUCUUGUGUAGCCAGAGACAACUAGCCUCUCCCCAGGUCUUUCUCUGCUCUGCUUAGUACACCGAGCACAGGUCAGCUUCCAUCAGGGAGGGAAUUUCAUUCAUUCAUUCAUAUGUUCCUUCCUUCCUUCCGUCCUUUCCUCCUUCCUUCCUUCCUUCCUUCCUUCCUUCCUUCCUUCCUUCCUUCCUUCCUUCCUUCCCCCUUUCCUUCUUUUCUUCCCUCCUCAUUUUUUGAGCACUUAAUAUGUGCUGGCCAUGGUGCCAGGUGCUGGGAAUUUAGAGAUGAAUUAUGACCUUUAAGAAGCUCCAGAACUAACUGGAGAGACAAAUGAGUAAACAUAAAACCUGAGCUACAACAAGGCAAAUACCUUCAUAAGGAUUGUGGGUGGGGUUGGGGAGGGAAUGACUCCAUGAGUUCAGUUUCCACCUGGCUGAGUCAGAGAAGGGCCCAUUUUGAGCUGGGUCUUGAGGUAGAGGUAGGAGUUUUCCAGGAAAAGAUGUAUCCAUCUGAAAGGAACCCUGAAACCUCACUACUGCUUUGCCAUCCUUUAAAUCAUCUGUCAUUUCCCUGAAACAUCUGUCUGAGGACUAUCCUUGUGGAACCGCAGGUCUGCACACUGGGCAGGCCUUGGCACACGCUCUACCAUCUUGCCCUAGCAGAGGAGAAUGUCUGGAGGUGAGGUCCCUCCACUCUCCUCUUUACCUCAGUGAUGUAAGUGCUUCACUCCUCCCCGUUUCUUUCCUUCUCUCUCAGAGGAAGAGGUCCUUUCUCCUCCCAGAGACAGCUGUUCCUAAAGGACUCCAAGCCAAUUUUGACAGAGAGAAAUGAGAAUAGAACUUUCCAGGUGAGGGAAAACAAUCUCAACAACUGUGUAAAGAUGGGAAAGUACCAUGCAUGUUUGGAAAAUAGUGAAUAAUCCAGAUUUGCUAAAGCUAUCUAGUCUAAUUUAAUCUAUUUGGUGAGUAUGAAAAUCUACAUAUUCCUUUAGGAAGUAGAGAGUAAACGGCAUAACUUAGGACUUUGGCUGAUGCUUCAACAAAAACAUUUGUUUGAGUGCUUUAUAUUUUUGUUAGUGCACGCAUGUGUGUACACACACAAACACACACAUAUAAGACCAUGCUGGGUAGUGUAGAUACGCAGACCUUGUUCUUGAGGAACUCACAGUCUCUUAGGGAGGAGGGAAUAACAUCUUCAUACGGUAAAUACUAUAAGUACUAGCAAAGAUGUGUGCAGUGUCUCUGGCAGCCAGGGGAGGGAAAGGAAAUUAAGUUGGCAUGGAUUGUAAAGGAAAACAAUAUACAUAUUUACAUUUUGAUUUAGGCCUUCAAGAAUAAGUUUGUCAAUGAAAAAGGGAAAAGUAGGGUGUUUCAGGCGAAAGGAAUAGGAAGAAAGGUAUGUGUGAGUGUAUAUAUGGUGGGGGACAGUGUGUGAAAACAUGUUCAUAAAAGGGCAUGUUGUCUCAUGGGCUAGAGCUGUGGGUUCUCAAUGGAGGCGAGGUGGUGAUCCCUGGUGGUUCUCAACGGUAGUGAUUUUAUGCCCCAGGAAACAUUUGGCAAUGUCUUUGGAUAUUUUUUGAUCAUCAUGACCUUGGGGUGGAGGUGCUAGGUGCUACUGGCAUCUAGUAGGUAAAAGCCAGGAUUGAUGCUAAAUGUUCUAUAAUGCACAAGACAGCCCUUUAUAACCAAGAAGUAUCCCAUUCAAAAUGUCAACAGUGCUGUCUCAGAAACCACGGGGUAGAGUAUGGCAGUCACAGAAAGAAGUGGCAAGAGAUGAGGUUGGGAAGAUAGAAUAGUGUUAAUUUGUGAAAGUUCUUAAAUGCCAUAUAAUAUAAUAUAAUGGAGGUUUCUAGAAAAGCAAGAGUUUUAUUUUUAUUCAUUUGGUUGGUUUCAUUUUACUCAAUUUAUAGUAGAGUUCAAUUAAAGGUGGUAAUGUUUACAACUGAUAAAAGAGCAUUUUCUGGAUAAAAUUCUAAAAGCUUUGAGAUCAUUUGAACAAAGAUUUUCUUAUGGAAAAGUGUUCAUUUGUGUCCCCUCCCUCACUACUAGCUAGAUUCCUUUGCCCCAUGCCACUUCCUGCCACUAUCUCCCCACCCCCACCUAAGGUGUCCAGGGUUAUCUUCUGAACCUUCCUGUUUAGCUGACCCAUUAAGUACAAGGGCUGAGCUCAGGGUAAAGGUGGACCUGGUCCCUUUGAGACUGUGAGUGAACUACUCACUUGUUUAGAAUUACAGUUAGGUAUGGGUUUUCAAGAAUGAUGGGCUCUGAACCAGGACUAAUACUGGAUGUUUGCGAACAGAAGUCUGAGGGUCACUUUUUCUAAGCCUUAUUUAUAUCAGAAAAGCUGAGUUCAUAUUAUCCUCACUUAAUUCAGUACUUUCCCCACAUUCUUGCAUUAUGAAUCCCUGCCCCACCCCCAGAAUUGGGUGUUAGAUCCACUCCAUUAUUAGGAAGUUGACAAUUAGCUGGAAAUUCCUUAGGAAACAGAACUUCCUAGGCCUAGUUUCAACCUUCUAAAAUAAGGUAUCUGCCCAGAAAGUGUUUCCCAAAGUAUGGGAGAUCAAGAAGGUUACGGGGUAGACCCUUCAUUCAGAUCAAAGAAGACUGAUUAAGGCUGUGUACAAGUGGUUCUCCAAACUCUGAGGCCAGAGGAAAUUUUUAAGCACUGCAAUUUUCGAUGACACACUUAAGGGGAUUAAAUGGAAUCUACUGUUAGCACCAUACGAUGAUAGCAUUCAUACAUUGAAGUUAAAACGAUACAACCUAUGUGCCCAGAAAGGAAGAAAGAUCACAAAUUUUAAAAGUCAGACAAUUCCCUCACCCUUCUGCUCCAAAAGUAUAUGCUCCAGAGUAGGAGUGCCAGAUAAAAUAUAGGAUGCCCAGUUAAUUUUAAUUUCAGAUAAAUAAUGAGUAUUAUUACAGUAUAAAUAUGUCUCAUGAUAAAUUCAUUUAUCUGAAAUUCAAAUUUAGCUGAGCACUCUGUGUUUUUAUUUGCUAAAUCUGGCAAUCCUACCCCAGAGAGAGAAUGAGAUGGGAAUCUUCUAUUUACUCAGUCCACAUGUGUGCCCACAUGCUUCUCUGGGGUGAGCAGCUUGCCUCUCUGAAUAUUAAUGAGAGACACCACAUGGGCCCUUGACCCAAGACAACUACCUCUACCUAGUGUUCAACUGAAGAAAUCAUAGUCUGCUUUAAUGCUCGAGGUGGAGAAAAGGCUGUCUGGAGAGGGCUUACUCAGAGAUAUUGGUCUCUGAUGUGGUACAUUUCUUAAGUAUUUUCUUCAUUUGACAAAUAUUAAUUGAGCAUACUUAAGAAAGUAUGUUCUUGUGAUACCUAUCUGCUUAUGGGGGAAGAGUUUUAAUACUAAUCUUAAUAUCCUUAAUUUAUAUCCUACAGUUGACCUGAAUUAGACAUGACUCCAUGUACUGGCUUUAUCACACUUUGGUUCCUUGUCACUAUUUGAGUACAUCUGUUUAUGGCCCUGUUCAUGUUUUCUUAUAUACUUCUGGGACAAAAUUCCUGCUAAGUGACAUCUGUCACAAUAGAUUUUAUGAGAAUAAACAGUGAUAUAUACUGAUGUGAAAAAGAAAGCUUUUAGGGAAUGACUAUCUUGAGAACUUCUUGUUUCUUGAAGGUGUAUAUGUGUGUAUGUGUGUUUGUGAGUAUAUCUGGGUGAACAGAUUGGGGGCAGGUCUCUUGAAAAUACUGGGUGUAUAAAGACUAUCUCCUUUCUGAGUGAACCUUAGUUUUUAAAAAACAUUUUCUUGACUAGUUUAGUUGCAAAAGCAAACACUUGGAAGAUUCCAGUAACAACUUCUUGGGCAGGAAAGAUGGCCUCUGCUCAGAGCUUGGUUGAGAAGCACACACUGAAAUGUGGCUUGGCUCUGUCCCCUGGCAUAGAAGGAGGGUGUUAUGUUCCACUAGAGGCCCUGCUACCUUCUCAGAAACCUGCCAAAUCAGGCACAGACUUGCUAGCCACCACAACGGAGGGAUCCUACUAAUCCAUGCCCAGCUCUCAGGAGGUAACUGGCAAGAGAGAAGAAAGCAAAACAAGCAAUCAAAUCCCUACACACCUUAUAAAUUUGCCUUGGAAAUUUUGCCCCAAGGCUGUCAAAAAGUAGAAAUAAUGAUUCCCAGGCCAGAUCUUGGGCAUUUAGUCUUUAAUGUAGAAAAAAAACCCAAAAUAUCCAAUUAUCUGAUUAUCAACUUGUUUUUUAGCCAUUCCCAGGAUCAGAUGACUCUGGUCCUUGGAAAUAAACCUAGGUUAUGCUACCCCUGGCCAAAGCAAGGGGCUAAGCCUUGAAAUCAUGUGCAUCUACUUUGCCUGUGAGAUGUUUCCUUGAUUAUCUGAAUCUCUCUGCCAGGGAGGGAUAAGAUGAUUUGUCUCCAUUCUGUCUGAGGUUGCAGAGCUAGGAUUCCCUUGGAGGAAUGGAAUGUAGAUUAAAUUCCCCUGCUUGGCUUUUGACCAAAGCCAGAAUGAACAAUUUAGAGACAGCAAUCUGGGUACAGCCUUUUGCUGCCCUCUGAUGGAAAACAUGGGUAUUGAACUAGCCAUAAAGCCUCAAUGCCUGAGCAAACGCUAUUAAGGUUGUCCAUGCCAAGGUCCAAAGGGACGGGUUAUACCUAAAGCUAUUAAGUAACACUAGAAUGUGAAUCUACAUGUCACAAUAGGAAGAUACAUUAAAUAAAUGGAGUUUGAAAGGCUUCUCUAUAAGAAUCUGAUUUCUCAAUAAUGGGAGCUUUAAUACCAUCCCCUUUUCCUGUUUGCUAGGAACUUGUUUCUCAUUUUUCUCUCUAAAUUCUUUUUUUUCUUUAACCAUUAUUUCAUGUAUCUUGAGAUAGUUAUAACAAGUUAUAAGUUAUAUAUAUGUAUAAUAUAAUUUAUUAUAAUAUAUAUUAUAUAUAUGUAUAUAUAUAAUAUAAGUUAUAAUAACUCCUUACUCUUAUAAGGAGUUACCUUUAAACAUUUUUAGAAAGUGAAAACUAGCAUUUGAUUGAGAAAAACUGUAAUUCUUACACACUCCAAAUCUUAAACUGGGGUUUAUACCUGUAUAUUCAGAUCAAAAUCCAAAUGAAAAUUCACCUUGAGAAUUCAAGUGAAUCAUGUUAGUCUUA
rnacentral:lncRNA from 1 species